CAGUCGCCACGGUAAAACGGAGGGUGCAAGCGUUAAUCGGAAUUACUGGGCGUAAAGCGUGCGUAGGCGGUUCGUUAAGUCUGUUGUGAAAGCCCCGGGCUCAACCUGGGAAUGGCAAUGGAUACUGGCGAGCUAGAGUGUGUCAGAGGAUGGUGGAAUUCCCGGUGUAGCGGUGAAAUGCGUAGAGAUCGGGAGGAACAUCAGUGGCGAAGGCGGCCAUCUGGGACAACACUGACGCUGAGGCACGAAAGCGUGGGGAGCAAACAGGAUUAGAGACCCCGGUAGUCCCUGUCUCUUAUAC
rnacentral:rRNA from 1 species